UACCAGCACCCCGAGUGGUCGGGACGUUUAUUGGGCCUAAAGCAUCCGUAGCCGGUUCUGCAAGUCCCCCGUUAAAUCCAGCUGCUCAACAGAUGGGCCGCGGAGGAUACUACAGAGCUAGGAGGCAGGAGAGGCAAGCGGUACUCAGUGGGUAGGGGUAAAAUCCGUUGAUCCAUUGAAGGCCGCCAGUGGCGAAGGCGGCUUGCCAGAAUGCGCUCGACGGUGAGGGAUGAAAGCUGCGGGAGCAAACCGG
rnacentral:rRNA from 1 species